rnacentral:rRNA from 1 species
UACGAAGGGUGCAAGCGUUACUCGGAAUUACUGGGCGUAAAGCGUGCGUAGGUGGUUCGUUAAGUCUGAUGUGAAAGCCCUGGGCUCAACCUGGGAAUGGCAUUGGAAACUGGCGACCUAGAGUGCGGUAGAGGGUAGUGGAAUUCCCGGUGUAGCAGUGAAAUGCGUAGAGAUCGGGAGGAACAUCUGUGGCGAAGGCGACUGCCUGGACCAGCACUGACACUGAGGCACGAAAGCGUGGGGGGCAAACAGG